GAACACAAAAUGGCGACACGUGGUUAGCAUUCGUCGCCAACGAGAAAUUGGGGUCGGCCCGAAAGCUCUAGAAUGCACCCCUCUUCCUCCCCGGGGCCUUCCACCUCCGCGAGUUUUAUGACUUAAAAAAGCCCACAGGCUGGUCUGAAGAGGAAGACAAACAUAAAGAUGAAGUGCUUAAUUCAAGGUCACACAAUGUCGGGGAUGGACCUCCAGAUUUCCUUACUGGAAAACAAGCUCAGGGCUCCCACUGAUUGUACAUUAUGGUGAGACGUGGUCUUGUAACACAGUGGUUAAGAAUGUGACUUUGGAGCCAGCCUGCUAGGGGCUGAAUUCUGACUCAGCCAUUUACUAACUGUGUGACCUUAGGUCACAGAAUUUUCCACACUCCUUGACAGAGGUGCUUAACCCUUAUCCAUCAGCAUUCUCAGACAGCACCUCCGGUUAGGGACAGUAUCUGACCGUCCGACAUCCCUGCAGCCCCCAUGUGUCACACAGACUCAGCCUCAGGUAGAUGGUUUCCGUAGAUGGUGGCUUUCUUUGGACCCUUGACAUCAACCAGUU
rnacentral:lncRNA from 1 species